UACGUAGGGGGCAAGCGUUGUCCGGAUUUAUUGGGCGUAAAGAGCGUGUAGGCGGCUAGAUAGGUCCGUUGUGAAAACUCGAGGCUCAACCUCGAGACGUCGAUGGAAACCAUCUGGCUAAAGUCCGGAAGAGGAGAGUGGAAUUCCUGGUGUAGCGGUGAAAUGCGCAGAUAUCAGGAAGAACACCCGUGGCGAAGGCGGCUCUCUGGUACGUGACUGACGCUGAGACGCGAAAGCGUGGGGAGCAAACAGG
rnacentral:rRNA from 1 species